CUUCCACCAAAACAUUGAGCAGCAGACCAGUUUGUCAACAACUGUGCAAAGAGGUGUGACACCGAGCCAACUUCCUCAGCGUCUACCGAGUAAAUUUUGUUGCUAAACCAAACCAUCGCUCUCCUGUCCGGUAGACAGGCCGUCUCAAUGCAUUACAGAGGACCGAAAACAUCGCGGGGAUCAUGGAUGUGUCCGAUUUGUUUAGCAGCUGCAAAAAGGGCGACAUUUGUAGAGUCAGAUACCUUGUUGAACAAAGAGACGUGGAGCUCAAUGUAAGAGAUAAAUGGGACAGCACCCCUUUGUAUUAUGCUUGUCUCUGUGGUCAUGAGGACCUGGUCGAGUACCUGCUGGCUAGUGGU